ACGGAAGGCAGCAGUGGGGAAUAUUGGACAAUGGGGGGAACCCUGAUCCAGCGACGCCGCGUGAGUGAAGAAGUAUUUCGGUAUGUAAAGCUCUAUCAGCAGGGAAGAAAAUGACGGUACCUGACUAAGAAGCCCCGGCUAACUACGUGCCAGCAGCCGCGGUAAUACGUAGGGGGCAAGCGUUAUCCGGAUUUACUGGGUGUAAAGGGAGCGUAGACGGCAAUGCAAGUCUGAAGUGAAAUCCCGCGGCUCAACUGCGGAGCUGCUUUGGAAACUGCAUAGCUGGAGUGUCGGAGAGGUGAGUGGAAUUCCCAGUGUAGCGGUGAAAUGCGUAGAUAUUGGGAGGAACACCGGAGGCGAAGGCGGCUCACUGGACGAUAACUGACGUUGAGGCUCGAAAGCGUGGGGAGCAAACAGGAUUAGAUACCCUGGUA
rnacentral:rRNA from 1 species